GGCUCGGUAGCUCAGUCGGUAGAGCAGAGGACUGAAAAUCCUCGUGUCGGCGGUUCGGUUCCNGGUCGGGACC
rnacentral:tRNA from 1 species